CUUGACCUCAAAUCGAGUAGGACUACCCGCUGAACUUAAGCAUAUCAAUAAGCGGAGGAAAAGAAACUAACAAGGAUUCCCCUAGUAACGGCGAGUGAAGAGGGAAGAGCUCAAAUUUUGAAUCUGGCGUCUUUGGCGUCCGAAUUGUAAUCUAGAGAAGUGUUUUCCGUGGCGGACCGUGCAUAAGUCUCCUGGAAUGGAGCGUCAUGGAGGGUGAGAAUCCCGUAUAUGGCACGGACUCCCGUUGCUCUGUGAUACACUCUCAACGAGUCGAGUUGUUUGGGAAUGCAGCUCUAAACGGGUGGUAAAUGCCAUCUAAAGCUAAAUAUUGGCGAGAGACCGAUAGCGAACAAGUACCGUGAGGGAAAGAUGAAAAGCACUUUGGAAAGAGAGUGAAACAGUACGUGAAAUUGUUGAAAGGGAAACGCUUGAAGUCAGUCGCGCCGUUCGGGAUUCAGCCUUGCUUUUGCUCGGUUUACUUCCCGUUGGGUGGGUCAACAUCAGUUUUGGUCGGAGGAGAAAGGCUUGGGGAAGGUGGCAGCAUUCGUGCUGUGUUAUAGCCCCUUGUUGUAUACUUCGACUGGGACUGAGGACCGCAGCACGCCUCUGGCCGGGGUUCGCCCACGUACGUGCUUAGGAUGUUGGCAUAAUGGCUUUAAGCGACCCGUCUUGAAACACGG
rnacentral:rRNA from 1 species